CACACAAGGCAGUAGAGAGAAAGAGAGAGAGAGAGUAGAGCGAGAAAGAGAGAAAGUGAAAGUGGAACAAGAGAAUAUACCAAGCAAUCAUGCAACUAGUGAAUGACAAAUUACAGAGGAGGUACUUCUUGAUGCAAUUAAAGCCUUUAAGUACGGGAAAACUCAAGGGCGGGAUGGCAUACCAGUGGAGGAUGUCGGUGGGCGGAGUCGGGAGGGUCGUCAGCGAAAAGGGACACACCUGGGCUCGGGUGCGUCCCGGAGAUAAAUACACCUUUCCCCCAUUCAUUGAGGAGACUCUCUACAUAGGCAAACUGUUGGGUUUUGGAGCCUUUCAACACCCCUCAUUAUCACAUCUAUGUACACAACCACACAUACAUGUAUAUAGUUUACUUUGGUUAAAUAUAUUUUUGUUAUUCCUUGAUCUCCAUGUUGUCUCCCUUUUUGUUACGACCGGUUUGUGACAAGGGCUUAAAAAUAAAGGUUUCAUUGUA